GAUGAACGCUGGCGGCGUGCCUAAUACAUGCAAGUCGAGCGAACAGACGAGGAGCUUGCUCCUCUGACGUUAGCGGCGGACGGGUGAGUAACACGUGGAUAACCUACCUAUAAGACUGGGAUAACUUCGGGAAACCGGAGCUAAUACCGGAUAAUAUAUUGAACCGCAUGGUUCAAUAGUGAAAGACGGUUUUGCUGUCACUUAUAGAUGGAUCCGCGCUGCAUUAGCUAGUUGGUAAGGUAACGGCUUACCAAGGCAACGAUGCGUAGCCGACCUGAGAGGGUGAUCGGCCACACUGGAACUGAGACACGGUCCAGACUCCUACGGGAGGCAGCAGUAGGGAAUCUUCCGCAAUGGGCGAAAGCCUGACGGAGCAACGCCGCGUGAGUGAUGAAGUUCUUCGGAUCGUAAAACUCUGUUAUUAGGGAAGAACAAAUGUGUAAGUAACUAUGCACGUCUUGACGGUACCUAAUCAGAAAGCCACGGCUAACUACGUG
rnacentral:rRNA from 1 species